AUAAGAAUAAGGCUAAGAAAACAUAUCAUAACUGAAAUAGAAAAAAGAAUUCUAGUAGAAAUGGACUACCAACUAACAAUUCUAGUUUGACUAGAACUAUAAAUAUAAUCCUACUAAAACAAGAAUUAAGAAAUCCUAAUCUUUUAAGGAAAAGAAAUCCUAAUCUUGAAUGGAUUCUUGGACUUCUUCAAUUUCUUGAAAUUCUUGGGCCUCAAUUGGACUAAGGCUAGUUAGUGUAAGCAUUUUAAAUUCGUGGCCCAAUUCUCCAAAUCCAUUGGCACCUUCAUGAGCCCAAUAAGCCUCCAUUGUUGUAGAAAACAUGGCCUCCACAUGUUCAUCAGAAGGUAUUCAUCCUUGAGGUGGUGUUACUGCAUACAUCAAACAAAAAUUGUAUUUGGUUCACAUUUGUUGUCGAAAACCCAAUGAAUCUUGAGAAACUCAUUCUCUCUUUCAUAAUUCCUUUUCAUGAGCUCGUCCCAUAUGGUUUCUAACCUCGUUUGAAAACUAUCCAUAUUGACUACAACGAUAUUUCGUUGUAAUAUUUUUCUCCAUAGAGCAUCUUCUUUGCGCGCAAAUCUUGAUAACCAUUUUUCCAAAACAACUUGAUUAAAAAUAGCUUGUUUUCUGAUGCCUAAUCCCCCAUCUUUGAUUGGAACCAUGAGACUUCCAUCUAACCAAGUUGAAUUUUCUCCCUUUUUUUUCCAUCUCCAAUAAGAGUCCCACACAGUUUCUCCAGUUCCUUAUUAACUAAGAAAAGAAAUGGAGACAUGGAACAUAGCACUCGUUUGGACUGGAAAUCCCCUUUGUAUUGUUUUAAUUCUUCUUUUUGUGAGUGUCUGGAUUUGGUUUUGAAUGAAUUAUUUUGAGCAUAUUAUGAUUAAAUUGGUUCUUCAAAAAAGGAAAAAGAAAUUUAAAGGAAAUGGAGACAUGGAACACAACACUCGUUUGGACUGGAAAACACUUUUGUACUGUUUUAAUUCUUCUUUUUUGUGAGUGUCUGGAUUUGGUUUUGAAUGAAUUAUUUUGAGCUUAUUAUGAUUAAAUUGGUUCUUCAAAAGGGGAAAAAGAAAAAGAAUGGUAAAAUUGGUGUUUGUUUCCUCUAAUGUUCUCUGAAGAACUCCUCACAGCUUGUCCAACUUCCUCUUCAAAAGAGCGUUUAAGAGCCUACGGUGUUGCUAAUUCUCUGGAAUGUUGUCGUCCUCAAUUGUGGCCCCCAAUCCUCAAUCCUCAUAGUAGGUAAUAGUGUCUGAUAGUAUUGAAAUAUACACUCACGAACGCUACCGAUAUCUUACCCAGUAUUAUAAAUAGCGCUCGCCUCAGCACUAAUAGCAUGAGGCGAUGCGAGCAACCUGCGCUAUUUUGACUCUGUUGCGUUGCGAUUGUAAAAGGCGAGCGCCUCUACCUGUGUAGCGAGAGACGAGAUGUGGCGUCGCUAUUUCAAAAAAAAGAAAGAAAAAGGCGUAAAGACCAGUGACUUAAAACAUUAGGGCUUGGGUUUUUCACUUCUUCUCCUUCAGCGACCUUUCUCUCAGCAAUAGAAAAAUUAGGGCUUAGGAUUCAUCUUCAGCCAUCAGCGACAGUAACCAACUAACCCAGUCAAGGAAUUGAUAAGAUGGCAUGGGAUGCUUCAGGAGAGCGUCUAGCCUUAUCUUAUCGAGAUGGGGAUGACUUGUACAGGGGUCUUAUUGCAAUAUUUGAUGUUAGAAGAAGUCCACUGAUUUCAGCGUUUUUGGUUGGGUUCAUUAGGGGUCCUGGAGAUGACCCCAAGCCAAUAGCUUUUUCAUUUCAUGACAAGUUUAAACAGGGACCAUUGCUUUCUGUGUGUUGGAGCAGUGGAUUUUGCUGCACUUAUCCCCUCAUAUUCCGCUCUUAUAGUUCUUCCAUAGUCAAGAUACAACAAAAUUUUUACUAUCAACUGUGACGUGAGGAAAAUAGUUUCAUUCAAGAUUUCGAUAAUACAGAGCUAGAAAUGCUAGAUUGAAGAAUCCGAUUUCAUAAUUCAAGAUGGAUUGUCUUCAACUCCCCUUUGAGAUUGCAGGGCAGAGUAUUUGACAAUUAAAUCUUUACCUUCACCAAAUAGAAGUUUGGGUUUUAAGUAUGCGUUAUGACUUUAUGUUUCUACAGAGAAGUUCCUACUUUAAAUAUACCUAUGUUUGAAAGAUUUAAUAUAGCAGUGGUGUUGGCUUUAGAUCAUUGUUUGAUGUGUCUAAGGUAUUAUUUAGUAAGUUGUGGUGGAACUUCAGAACAAAGCCCUCUUUGUGGAGUGAGUGUAUAAAGAUUAAGUAUUGUAAGAAGCUGAAUCCGGUAAUGGUGCAGGGGAAGAAUGGAUCUUCAGCUUGGAAAAAAAAAUUAUAAUGUAGAGAUACGGUUGAACAUCAGAUCUGUUGGCAAACCAAAGGGGGGCUCAUCAAAGUUUUUGUUUGAUAACUGGACAGGAUUAGGGCCUCUUUAUUUUAUAACUCCUACGGAUUUCAAGUGCACUGAAGAUAUACAAAUUGUUAAUGAGUUUGAACAAGAAGGAAGAUAAAAUAUGGACAAAUUAAAUGAGUACUUGCCUGAUGAUCUUGUACAACAUGUUGUGGAAGAAGUCAAGCCUCCUGUGAUGGGAUCUGGGAAUGAUAAGCCCGAUGGAUGCUUGAAUCCAAAGGAGAAUUUAUAGUGAAGUCAACUUGGGAUUACAUAAGACAUAAAGGGCAACCUAAUGAUACAUACAAGUUUAUGUGGGUGAAACGACUGCCUUUUAAAAUAUCUUUCUAUUAUGUGGACUUGGAAGUUGAUGCUUUAAGGAAAAUAGUGUAUGAGCUCAUCAAGAUAUUGGUGCUGUGAGAAUCCCAGAAUGGAGGCACUGCCUCAUAAUUAAGCUAUUUGAAGAUUUCACUCCAACACGGAAGAUCACCAGAUUACUAUGGGAAUUACCUCCAUAUGGAUGGAUGAAAUGCCAACAUAGAUGGAGCUUCAAAAGACAAUUCUGGCAGGAGUUCAUAUGCUUUGUGUGUUAAAGAUGCUGCGGGGAUCUAAUUCAUGUACAAGAUAAGGAAAUAUGAUAUGAUAUAAAUACAAAAGCUGAGGCAGUUCCUAUACUCCAGGCAAUCAGGUUUUAUGUCAAUGCUAACUUUACUCAUGUUAUUGUACAAAUAGAUUCCUUCUUCUUAAAGAACGUGUCAGAUGGAAACUGAAAACCACCAUGGUCCAUGUGGCUGGAUAGAGGAGAUAUUAGAGGCAGAUGCAAUAUCAUAGUGUCUCAUAUUCUAUGUGGGGAAUAAACUGGCAGAUUAUUUGGCCAAUUUUGCACUUGAAAAUAGUUUACAAUAUUUUGGGGAGGCUCGGAUUAUAUAUUUGAUUCAGUCUAGAUAUGAGAACGGGAAUCGACUUGGUUGCAACUACAGUGGCCAACCUUGUCACCGUCCAAAGUAUGAGUUCGUCGUGUUUCUCCUCUUUUCCUUUCUCGAUGAGUAUUAUCAUCGCCUCUUUUAUUUUCGGGAUCGAAGGGGCGUGGCCUCCAUAAUUCAUUCAUUAUUUUCAUAGGCCUGAUGUAGUAUCUG